CGAAUGCUGACAUAAGUAACGAUAAAGCGGGUGAAAAGCCCGCUCGCCGGAAGACCAAGGGUUCCUGUCCAACGUUAAUCGGGGCAGGGUGAGUCGACCCCUAAGGCGAGGCCGAAAGGCGUAGUCGAUGGGAAACAGGUUAAUAUUCCUGUACUUGGUGUUACUGCGAAGGGGGGACGGAGAAGGCUAUGUUGGCCGGGCGACGGUUGUCCCGGUUUAAGCGUGUAGGCUGGUUUUCCAGGCAAAUCCGGAAAAUCAAGGCUGAGGCGUGAUGACGAGGCACUACGGUGCUGAAGCAACAAAUGCCCUGCUUCCAGGAAAAGCCUCUAAGCAUCAGGUAACAUCAAAUCGUACCCCAAACCGACACAGGUGGUCAGGUAGAGAAUACCAAGGCGCUUGAGAGAACUCGGGUGAAGGAACUAGGCAAAAUGGUGCCGUAACUUCGGGAGAAGGCACGCUGAUAUGUAGGUGAAGCGACUUGCUCGUGGAGCUGAAAUCAGUCGAAGAUACCAGCUGGCUGCAACUGUUUAUUAAAAACACAGCACUGUGCAAACACGAAAGUGGACGU
rnacentral:rRNA from 1 species